CCUGAGAAACGGCUACCACAUCUCAGGAAGGCAGCAGGCACGCAAAUUACCCACUCCCGGCACGGGGAGGUAGUGACGAAAAAUAACGAUGCGAGACUCAUCCGAGGCCUCGCAAUCGGAAUGAGUACACUUUAAAUCCUUUAACGAGGAUCUAUUGGAGGGCAAGUCUGGUGCCACGGGCCGCGGUAAUUCCAGCUCCAAUAGCGUAUAUUAAAGUUGCUGCGGUUAAAAAGCUCGUAGUUGGAUUUCAGUUCUGGACUGACGGUUCACCGCCCGGUGCACACUGUCACGCUCCGACAGCCCGCUGGCUCGCACGGGGUGCUCUUCACCGGGUGUCCCGCGUGGCCGGCAGAGUUUACUUUGAAAAAAUUAGAGUGCUCAAAGCAGGCUACAUUGACGGCCUGAAUGCCUAUGCAUGGAAUAAUGGAAUAGGACCUCGGUUCUAUUUUGUCGGUUUUCUGAACCCGAGGUAAUGACUAAUAGGAACAGGCGGGGGCAUUCGUAUUGCGACGCUAGAGGUGAAAUUCUUGGACCGUCGCAAGACGAACUACUGCGAAAGCAUUUGCCAAGGAUGUUUUCAUUAAUCAAGAACGAAAGUUAGAGGUUCGAAGGCGAUCAGAUACCGCCCUAGUUCUAACCAUAAACGAUGCUGACCAGCGAUCCGCCGGUGUUAUUCCCAUGACCCGGCGGGCAGCUUCCGGGAAACCAAAGUCUUUGGGUUCCGGGGGAAGUAUGGUUGCAAAGCUGAAACUUAAAGGAAUUGACGGAAGGGCACCACCAGGAGUGGAGCCUGCGGCUUAAUUUGACUCAACACGGGGAACCUCACCAGGCCCAGACACCGGAAGGAUUGACAGAUUGAGAGCUCUUUCUCGAUUCGGUGGGUGGUGGUGCAUGGCCGUUCUUAGUUGGUGGAGCGAUUUGUCUGGUUAAUUCCGAUAACGAACGAGACUC
rnacentral:rRNA from 1 species